GGGUUUGAUAAUCAAACAAUUUGCUCUAUUCCGGCGAUAUUUCGGCAAUAUCACAAUCCCGAUCAGUUUCCGAAACCCUAGGAUUGCAGUGUCUGUGCACGAAGAUACAACUUGUUGUUUGAUUUUCAGAAUGUACGAUUCAGUUUCUCUAUGUUGAAACUCUUAUGAGAUGCACCACCCAGCAAAUACGUGACUAAUGAAUGUGAUGGGGUUUUCUUUGCAUGUUCAUGUGCCGAAUUUUGAAAACCCAAAGGUUGUCAAUUCUGGAGAGAUACCCAACCCAUAACUCGAGAUGAUUGGCACAUUGGUUGGAAAGAAGUAUGCAUUUAUCAUAAAUGUUACCGACUAUAACAUUGAGCAUCAAGUUGAAAACUAUGGUAUUGCAAUGGCAACCAACAAUGAUGACAUCAUUGUCGCGCUUUACGCCAAAUUCAAUGUUAACUAGAGCAUGAGCAGUCCGAAUCGUUUGGUGUUCCGGUCUCAGCUAGUUUGUCUAAUCCUUUUGACGUUAAGGAUGACGUGUCAUGCACCGGUGACAAUGCUACACCUAUAUCGAAUGCAGUUGGAAGCAAUAAUUGAUUUAAAACCCUUACCGUCAACUUUUCAACUUCAAGAUUUUGGUAUUGAGUUGAUUUGGUGCUAAUAUUGGUAUUACUACUUUUGUCGUGGCUCCCUCAACAUAUGACAAAUUUUGUUCAUUUACACAACAAAUUAAAUAUAGCCAUUAAAUCAAUUGGUGGAGGUUAAUGGGAAUUGAAGAUUUCUUAAGACGAAGGAGAUUUCGAAACUUCAUGUUUUUAAUUUAUUUUUAGUUUUUGUCAAAAAUUUAUGUAUUAACAAAAAAAUAAUAAUAUAAGUAACUUUCUUCAGCCUGGGAACCGUAGUAAUAUUGAGUGCCAUAGAGCAACUCGUAC
rnacentral:lncRNA from 1 species